ACAAUUAGCUGUUGGGACACUAGAUGUCUUAGUAGCGAAGCUAACGCGUGAAAUUGUCCGCCUGGGGAGUACGGUCGCAAGAUUAAAACUCAAAGGAAUUGACGGGGACCCGCACAAGCGGUGGAUGAUGUGGAUUAAUUCGAUGCAACGCGAAGAACCUUACCUGGUCUUGACAUGUACGGAAUCUCUUAGAGAUAGGAGAGUGCCUUCGGGAACCGUAACACAGGUGCUGCAUGGCUGUCGUCAGCUCGUGUCGUGAGAUGUUGGGUUAAGUCCCGCAACGAGCGCAACCCUUGUCAUUAGUUGCCAUCAUUAAGUUGGGCACUCUAAUGAGACUGCCGGUGACAAACCGGAGGAAGGUGGGGAUGACGUCAAGUCCUCAUGGCCCUUAUGACCAGGGCUUCACACGUCAUACAAUGGUCGGUACAGGGGGUAGCGAAGCCGCGAGGUGAAGCCAAUCUCAGAAAGCCGAUCGUAGUCCGGAUUGCACUCUGCAACUCGAGUGCAUGAAGUUGGAAUCGCUAGUAAUCGUGGAUCAGCAUGCCACGGUGAAUACGUUCCCGGGCCU
rnacentral:rRNA from 1 species